CUGUUACAAAUUCAGUACGGAUCAAAGAGGAGCUGGAUGUCAAUAAGAUCCAACAAGAGGGCAGGAGUAUUGUAUAUAGAGGUGGAAGCUGGAGGAAGAAAGAAGAAAGGGAAUUAUAAGAGGACGCCCCACAUAAGAGAAUUCAAGGUUUUUGUAAAUGCAACAACGUAACACAGAACAUGGGGCUUAAAAUAUAUACUUUUUCCUUGGAUUAUUAUCUGGCUUUUAUUCUUAUUGGAUCUCAGCUGUGGAGCAAUUCUGUCUGUGAACGGAACCCUGGAUAUAAUAUAUAUACAAGUCCAUCGGUGAUGGUGCAGCGAGGUCUCUGUGUCCAUGUUCCAUGCUCAUUUACCGUGGACAGUGAUGUGCGGUUAUCCAUAUCUACCACUGGUAUAUGGUAUCAUCUCUACAAUGGGAAUGGACAUCCUGUUGCUUUUAAAAACAUUUCUGUACAUCGGACAUUAGGACGCUUCUUUCUGACCGGAAAUGUGUACAGCGGAGACUGCUCAUAUUCCAUAGAAGACCCAUUGCCUACAGAUGAGGGAAGAUAUUUUUUUAGAGUUGAAGAUGAUGAUCCCGUAAAGUUCAGCUAUCAGGAUAUCCAGCCUUAUGUGGAUGUAACCGAUCUCACAGAUAAACCUACCAUCUCCUCUACAAGGCUGGUGGAUGGGGAGGAGGUGACUUUGACCUGUACAAGCCCUGGUAGAUGCUGGAAUAUAAAACCACAGAUUACAUGGGAAGG